GUUUGAUGUUCUAACGUGGACCCGUUACCCGGGUUGCGGACAGUGUCUGGUGGGUAGUUUGACUGGGGCGGUCUCCUCCUAAAGAGUAACGGAGGAGCACGAAGGUUGGCUAAUCCUGGUCGGACAUCAGGAGGUUAGUGCAAUGGCAUAAGCCAGCUUGACUGCGAGCGUGACGGCGCGAGCAGGUGCGAAAGCAGGUCAUAGUGAUCCGGUGGUUCUGAAUGGAAGGGCCAUCGCUCAACGGAUAAAAGGUACUCCGGGGAUAACAGGCUGAUACCGCCCAAGAGUUCAUAUCGACGGCGGUGUUUGGCACCUCGAUGUCGGCUCAUCACAUCCUGGGGCUGAAGUAGGUCCCAAGGGUAUGGCUGUUCGCCAUUUAAAGUGGUACGCGAGCUGGGUUUAGAACGUCGUGAGACAGUUCGGUCCCUAUCUGCCGUGGGCGCUGGAGAACUGAGGGGGGCUGCUCCUAGUACGAGAGGACCGGAGUGGACGCAUCACUGGUGUUCGGGUUGUCAUGCCAAUGGCACUGCCCGGUAGCUAAAUGCGGAAGAGAUAAGUGCUGAAAGCAUCUAAGCACGAAACUUGCCCCGAGAUGAGUUCUCC
rnacentral:rRNA from 1 species